AGAGUUUGAUCCUGGCUCAGGACGAACGCUGGCGGCGUGCCUAAUACAUGCAAGUCGAGCGAACCAAUAAGAAGCUUGCCUUUUGUUGGUUAGCGGCGGACGGGUGAGUAACACGUGGGUAACCUGCCUGUAAGACCGGGAUAACUCCGGGAAACCGGUGCUAAUACCGGAUAGAUUAUCUUUCCGCCUGGAGAGAUAAGGAAAGAUGGCUUUUGCCAUCACUUACAGAUGGGCCCGCGGCGCAUUAGCUAGUUGGUGAGGUAACGGCUCACCAAGGCGACGAUGCGUAGCCGACCUGAGAGGGUGAUCGGCCACACUGGGACUGAGACACGGCCCAGACUCCUACGGGAGGCAGCAGUAGGGAAUCUUCCGCAAUGGACGAAAGUCUGACGGAGCAACGCCGCGUGAGCGAAGAAGGUCUUCGGAUCGUAAAGCUCUGUUGUUAGGGAAGAACAAGUAUCGGAGGAAAUGCCGGUACCUUGACGGUACCUGACGAGAA
rnacentral:rRNA from 1 species